AUGUUUCUACAAGUCAUCAGAUUGGGAUCGACAGUUUGGAUGAUUUUUUCUUCGUGUCGAGGGAGGAAGUUCUCUCUUGCUAUAAUCUCACUGGAAAUGAUCUUCCCGAUGAUCGAGGAAAAGCAAUUUCGAUAAUGAGUAAAGCACUUGAAUCUUAUCUUAGUAAAGCCAAGGAGGAUGGGAUUAUUGCUGGAGUUAUAGGACUUGGAGGCAGUGGAGGGACGUCUCUGAUAUCCUUUGCGUUGAGACGUUGAAAGAUUCUUGUGAUUCCAAUGGAAAACAACAGUGGGUUUAACAAUGUUUGGGGUUACGACUCCCUGUGUCAAUGCUGUUAAAGAAAUAUUGCUUACAGAAGGAUACAAAAUCCUUGUUUUUCAUGCUACUGGGGUUGGGGGGAAGGCAAUGGAAUCUCUGGUCAAAGAGGGAUUUAUACAGGGAGUCUUGGACAUCACCACCACAGAGGUCGCAGACUACUUAAUUGGAGGUGUCAUGGCUUGUGACAGUACCCGCUUUGAUGCCAUUAUAGAGAAGAGGAUCCCAUUAGUUCUAAGUGUAGGAGCAGUGGAUAUGGUGAACUUUGGAUCCAAAGAUACAAUACCCUCAAAUUUUCACGGAAGGAAUAUAUAUGAACAUAAUAAAUAGGUUUCUCUAAUGCGAACUACGGUGGAGGAAUGGUACUCACAAAAUUUUAGAGCUAUUAUUAUUGAUUUUGAUAGAAUGCUGGUCUUGCAAGAAAUCAAGGAGCGAAGAGGCAAGAAUCAUGAUAUGUAGGUGAUCUUGUACAUUGCUUCUAAAUCAGAACCUUCCAUUCUCUGUACUUGCUUCGUGGCUUGACAACCUUGAUCAUACUUGAUUCAAGGUCAAAGAGACUUCAAAGUUAGGACCUCGCCCAGAGAAGCCUAUUGAGAUAUAUGAGUUUGAGAGUUGUCCAUUUUGUCGGAAGGGAGUUAUCACUAAACAAAUGACUGCAAUAGAAGAAAUGGUUGCAAGUGAGUACAAUUAGCCAGACCCUCAUCUUUGUGACAAGAUCUUGAAGUUGGUCAUUUGUGAAGCGUUCUACUUUGCUAUUAGUUGCAGUUUUAGUUAUUGCUCUCUCAAUAUAUUCUUUUUCUUUCUUUCUUUCUUUUUUUCCAAAGGAUGAUCAGUGUAAUAAUUAAGCUUCAUAAUUUCUGUGUUUGGAUCCAAGUUGUAUAUAAAUGUCACAUUAUUAAGAUUUCA